ACACGCAUGACACACCGCAUAUCAAUAAGCGGAGGAAAAGAAACUAACAAGGAUUCCCCCUAGUAACGGCGAGUGAAGCGGGAAGAGCUCAAAUUUGAAAUCUUCAAGGUUUGACCUUGACGAAUUGUAGUUUAAAGAAGUGUUUUCGGUUAGAGGAGUAGUAAAAGUUCUUUGGAAUAGGACAUCAUAGAGGGUGAGAAUCCCGUAUUUGACUAUUCUUUCUAGCUUUGUGAUACACUUUCAAAGAGUCGGAUUGUUUGGGAAUGCAGUCCAAAAUGGGUGGUAAAUUUCAUCUAAAGCUAAAUAUUGGCGAGAGACCGAUAGCGAACAAGUACCGUGAGGGAAAGAUGAAAAGAACUUUGAAAAGAGAGUUAAACAGUACGUGAAAUUGUCGAAAGGGAAGCGUUUGACACCAGUGUUGUUUUUCCGAAAAUCAAUUAAAAAUUGAUUCAUGCCUAGGUUGUAUUGACCUUAUCAGCUUGCAAUUUAGUUUUGGGUCUCUUUUUGAUGCACUUUUCGGUUAACAAGUCAACAUCAAUUUCCUUUGCUGUAAAAAGGUAAGAGGAAGGUGGCUUCAAUUUCGGUUGAAGUGUUUAUAGCCUUUUAUCUCUGCAGUCGGGGAGAUUGAGGUCUGCAGCGUAGAUCCUUCGGGGCUAGAUACAUUUAUGCUAGGUUAUAGCUUUUUCAUAGACAACUUGUUGACUAUGAUUAGUCAUGUAGCUUACUCGUAGUGCUAUUUUACCUACGCUUAGGAUGUUGAGCGCAUGUCUCUCUCU
rnacentral:rRNA from 1 species